ACUAGACGAUUGAUUGUUGGGACCCGCAGUUCCCCAAUAUAAUACACCGCCGAUCAAAUCCUAACCGCCAAAGGAUGCAUCUCCACCGAACGCAAAACCCUGCAAAACCACCUUAGAAUUUUUCCAGGUCCCCCUCUAGGUUUUGGCUUAUCCGAAUCCUGCAAAACGUUUUUUUCGGAGAAACGAAGAAGAAACAAACGCUGAAGCCCCUUUGUGCUAUUUCGGUGUAGCAAGAGCAUCCCCUGUUUUUCGCCUCAUGAAACAAAUGAUACUGUGAUUGUAUGUUUAUAUGCAUGCCAGCUAUAGAUUAAUGGUUGAUGGGCGUAUUGUUAUUGAUAUGUAGGGGUGGGAAGCAGGUGUUGGUGUAGAGAAGCCAAACAAUUGGGCAUGAUACUGCUCAAUUUGACAGUAUUCGCAAGAGAUUGGAAGUGGUACACUGUAUGCUGCACGUUAAUUAGACAACUAUGAUUUCUGUGAUAUGUCAUAUGUGCAAUUUAUUCAAGCCUGCUUAUAUUUUGUUCAAUCAACAGCAAGCUGCACAUGCAACUGAUGAAGUUGUUGUGAAGAAGCAUACAGAAGAAAAAACAGAGACUGGUGUAUCUAGUGAUCAAUCAAGAACCAGUUGCCAAAGCUACUCGACGACAGGGAAGAAAAUGGUGUAAAGAGGUAACUUGAAGAAAAUGGUCUUAAAACUGCCUAAAAUGGAAUAAAAGAGAGCAAGCAUGCUAAGUUGCAACUGAAGAGAAGAUAAAUAAGAAAAGUAACUUGAAAUUCAAAUUUCAAAUCUCCAAGAGCAUUCAAAAUUCAAGAUUUAGCUUAUUAAGGAAAGUGCAGUCAGCAGAGCAAUUUGAAAUUCAAAUUUCAAAUCUUCAAGAAUCCCUUUCCUUAUUGAGGAAGCCAAAUUCAAAAAAGAGGCUUCACCUCACUAAUGUACACUUGGGCAGCAAGGGACCAACUUGGACAGCUAGGAGACCCAGGGCAAUACUUUCAACUAUAAGGAGCCUCCCCAUGCUUUUUUUACUCUCCUUUGGACACACGUCAAAAGGGUUGAGGAAUCAUCCGAGAAAAAUUCUAAUGUAGAAAAUGAGCUGGAGCCUGCAGAAGCAUCUGAGCCCGAAUUUUCUAUCCUGGAGGCAAAAAUAUUUAUAUGUGAGCGCUCUUCUUCUUCUUCUUCUUCCUUUUUUUCUUAUUGUUCUUCCUUUUAAUUGGUGAUGGCAUUUUGAGUAUUCAAAUCAAUCCUUCAUGUAUGUUUUAUGUAAAAGGAUUGUUGCGACACUGCAAAUUAUCUACAUAUAUCUCCACUGUGCUGUGCCUGUAAGUCCUUUCCUAUUUUCUCAGCAACUUUUAUUGUUUGAUUGUGGGCCGGAAAGAUCUUUUAGUCGAUUGUUUAAUAAAUGACCUCAGUAUAUUGUCACAGAAUCCAAAGCUGAAGAUGAUUCUCAAGAAUGGUGAGGCUAUAAAUCUGGAUUUGCCUCAGGAGGUUUUCUUGGAACUCAAACUAAAAAGAAGUUGAACAGAAAUGGAAAUGCUCAAAAUUGUAAUGAGAGGAAUGUGUUCCUUGAAGCUUCAAGAUCAAGAGAACCUUUACAAACUUGUCCAAUUAUGUCCUUUGAAAUUCCUUCUUUGAAAUUUUCUCUUCCAAUGUUAAUUGUUUGAUAUAUUUAUGAUUCUUUUACCAUGCUGACUAAAUUUCCUAAGUGAAGCAAAUUGAAUUGUAGCAGCCUAUGCUUCAAGAAAAGGUUAAAUUUUGACUACGGCAUGUUAGGAGUAGUAAGAUAGAGGAGUACGCCAAUACAGAAUUUGUAGACUAUUAAUGUGAUUUUUCUGUUUCAACAGAUUUCCAGGAUAAAGCCACAGCUGGAAAGCAAGGACUUGGCAUAAAGGAUUGACCAAAGAAAAUAGCUGGUGCCCUCUUUCAGGGAAAAAAGACAUCUUUUAGCAACAAUGAUGAUGAGGUUGAUGAAGAAAAAGUUGUAACAAGUUCUGCUACUUCUGGUAACGAAAAUGUGACAGCAUUCCAGGAAUGAAAAACAAUGAUGUAAAAAAAGUGAAGUUGAAGAAGCUGUGCCACUUCUACACCACGUCCAGCCUGCAGCAUUUCUGACCAAGGAGUCACUGAAGCUGAAAAAGCUGAAAGUUCUUAUUGAAGAGCAUACACCUUCUAUUUUUUCCAAUUUCUAUUCGAGGAAAGAUGCUCUUACUUACUUGAAACAAAAGCUAGAAGGCAGUCGAAAUUUCUCCAUAGAGGGAAAGGGAGUAAGUCUUGCAAUUGCAUGUAGGAGAGGCUGAAAGUUUGGCUAGGAAUUUAGUUGCCUGCACCAGACCUCUGUAAACUGCAGCUGAGUCUGUUUUGUAAUCAGAAUCAUGUACCGUACAUUCAUUGGAUUUUUUUCUCCAAUAAUUACUAAUCAUGCUCCACUUAUAUCA